rnacentral:rRNA from 1 species
CGACACGGGUGAGUAACACGUAUCCAACCUGCCGUCUACUCUUGGACAGCCUUCUGAAAGGAAGAUUAAUACAAGAUGGCAUCAUGAGUCCGCAUGUUCACAUGAUUAAAGGUAUUCCGGUAGACGAUGGGGAUGCGUUCCAUUAGAUAGUAGGCGGGGUAACGGCCCACCUAGUCUUCGAUGGAUAGGGGUUCUGAGAGGAAGGUCCCCCACAUUGGAACUGAGACACGGUCCAA